rnacentral:rRNA from 1 species
UACGUAGGUGGCGAGCGUUGUCCGGAUUUACUGGGCGUAAAGAGCGCGCAGGCGGUCGUCCAAGUCGCGUGUGAAAGCCCCCGGCUCAACUGGGGAGGGUCACGCGAUACUGAUCGACUCGAAGGCAGGAGAGGGAAGCGGAAUUCCUGGUGUAGCGGUGAAAUGCGCAGAUAUCAGGAAGAACACCAAUGGCGAAAGCGGCUCACUGGCCCGUAACUGACGCUCAUGCACGACAGCGUGGGGAGCAAACAGG